rnacentral:rRNA from 1 species
UACGUAGGGUGCAAGCGUUGUCCGGAAUUAUUGGGCGUAAAGAGCUUGUAGGCGGUUUGUCGCGUCUGCUGUGAAAUUUCGGGGCUCAACCCCGAACUUGCAGUGGGUACGGGCAGACUAGAGUGUGGUAGGGGAGACUGGAAUUCCUGGUGUAGCGGUGAAAUGCGCAGAUAAUCAGGAGGAACACCGAUGGCGAAGGCAGGUCUCUGGGCCACUACUGACGCUGAGAAGCGAAAGCAUGGGGAGCGAACAGG